rnacentral:ncRNA from 12 species
CCUUCGAUAGCUCAGUUGGUAGAGCGGUGGACUGUAGUAGUUUAUCAGAAUGCAUUAAACAACUUGUGUGACGGCCAAAGCAUUUUCGAAUGCCAAACCUCCAUCGGGUGCAGACAUCCAUAGGUCGCUGGUUCAAAUCCGGCUCGAAGGA